rnacentral:rRNA from 1 species
UACGUAGGGUCCGAGCGUUGUCCGGAAUUACUGGGCGUAAAGAGCUCGUAGGUGGUUUGUCGCGUUGUUCGUGAAAACUCACAGCUCAACUGUGGGCGUGCGGGCGAUACGGGCAGACUAGAGUACUGCAGGGGAGACUGGAAUUCCUGGUGUAGCGGUGAAAUGCGCAGAUAUCAGGAGGAACACCGGUGGCGAAGGCGGGUCUCUGGGCAACAACUGACGCUGGAGGAGCGAAAGCGUGGGGAGCGAACAGG